UCACACCCCCCCCCCCCGCUCCCCUCUCCAGCCUCACUCCCCCCCCCCCCCCCAGUCUCUGGCCUCCACCCCCUAGGGCCUCUCCUAUCCCAUCUACCCCCACUCCCCUCCCUGGCCUCAGUGCGAUCUCUUCUCCCCCCCUCCCCAAAUUUCUGGAGUCUCUCCUACGCUGCUCCCCUCCCCCUGUGGCCUUCCCCUGACUGUGCUCUCCAGCUGCAAUCCUCUUAUCUUCCUCUAGCUCCUAUGAAUCCCACCCCCUGUUCUCUCCCUUACAUCAACACCACCAGCCUGCUGCCCCAUGUUCUCUGGGGCCUCCCCCACCUACUUCUCCUUCCUACCCCCCCCCACCAUUCUUCUCCCCUAGGGCCUCCACUCCCCAUUCUCUUCCUCUACACCCCACUUUUAUUUUUCCUAUCUCCCCUGGGACCUCAAACCCCCAGUCCACUCUUCUACCCCAUCCCCUGGGGGACCCUGACCCCCUUUCUCCUUCCUUUUCUUCUUCUUCUCUUACCCAUUAUGGGGCUUUACACCUGUUCUCUUGCUUCCAUCCCUCUUCUCUCAUUCCAAGGGCCUCCCCUGCUCGCCCUCCCCGCACCUCCCAGCCUUUACUUCCUUUCUCCUCCAGGGCCUCAUUCUCCUACACAUCUCUUAUCAGCCCUGUGGACCUCAAACUUUCCCAUACCAUGGGGGGCCUGUGCCCAACUCCCAGGCACCUCGUUUUACUGUAUAACUCCCCCCCUCAAUGGCACCUGCCCCAUCACUGGAGGUUGCACUCUUCUUCACUUUCUCUAGCACAUCUCUUCCCCAUGAUAUUUAUCUACUCCUGGACCACGUAUCCUGCCAACUUCCCUAUCCUUAUUCUCUGAGCCUGCAGCCUUCCCUCUCUUGUCCCUCUUUGUGGGGUGCUGUUCCCUGCCACUCACUCUCCUGAUCCCCCUGCUGCUUUAGAACCCUCUGGAAGUGAGGAAACCCAUAUUUCCCAUCCUCGUUCCCUUUCCAUAUUCCCUCUCUGAAGGCAACUUCUCCACCUCCCACAUGAAAAGUCUUUCCUCCUCCCUGGCAGUGGCAUUUCUUCCUCCCUCCAAUGCCUGGUGGUAGGUGCCCCAAACCUGAUUUGUCUCUGGAAUGUCCCCGGGAGAAGCUGUGGAUGCAUCUCACAGAGGUUAUCCUUUUCCAUCCCCUGCUCUCACAGCUUCAUGGAUUACUUUCAACUAGUUGGCUGUGCGCACGUGCCAGGACCAGGGGGGAAAAUGUUAGUUGCUGGAGUCCUCAAAAAGUUUCUUCUGUAGAACUUGAAUGGCCAAUCCUGGGCUCCAGCUGAUCUGGUGUGUGCUCUGAGUGCCCAUUAAGGAAUGAAGUCAUUACUAGAGCUUGUACUUCAUCAAGGCUGUCCCCUUAUCAGAUGGCUAAUAAAUCCUUGGAGUUUAUGUAGCACUUCAGAUCAUUGCAGUGCUAAGUAGCUAAUUCUGAGCACUACUUAGAGGUAAGUAUUAUCCCUGAUUUUGACCCAGGGAAACAGAAGAGAUACUGCAGGCAGACUAAAGCUCUCUUGGGCUAGUAGCAAAGCUGGAUUAGAACCUGGUAGGCAUGACUCCCACUCGCUCCCAGUCCAGAGUUGCAGUCCUAUCUCUAACCACUAGAUCAUACACCCUUUAAAUGUGAAGGGCAAACCCAUUGUUCUUGGUUACCCGCCCCUUGCUGUAAUAGCUGGCCCUCACUGCCUUGAAAGCCAGUUGAGCUUGGAGAAAUUAGAGCUUUGUGUGCAAUGGUCAGUGCUGUGGAAUUUAAGGUUGUAGCAGGUUUGUCAGCAUGGGACUGGGGACCUGGAGCUCCUGAGUUCUAAUAUCCGCUCUGCUGCUGACUCUGUGGUCUUGGGCAAGUCCCUUACUCUUGCUUCACAGAUUUGAGAGAAUAUGAAGCAGUAAAGGGCCCACAAAUGCUAUGAGCUAUUGCUGAUACUUGCGGUAUUUAUAAAAUAGAGACUCUGGAUGAAGUUGCUUUCUAAGGAGAGUUUUUUAGAGCUACAGAAGAAACUUAUUCCAGCAAUGACAUUUUUCACUUCCUGGCAUGUGGGUGGAAUUAUGUCUUGCUGAUUAUUUUUUUUUUAACCCCCUGGAUCUUUACAUCUUAAUUGACUACUCUUCAGAGUAAUGACAGGUUUCAGAGUAGCAGCCGUGUUAGUCUGUAUCCGCUAAA